rnacentral:misc_RNA from 1 species
UGAGAGGUCAUGGAGAACAG